UACGUAGGGUGCAAGCGUUGUCCGGAAUUAUUGGGCGUAAAGAGCUCGUAGGUGGUGUGUCGCGUCGGCCGUGAAAACCUGCAGCUUAACUGUGGGCUUGCGGUCGAUACGGGCAUCACUGGAGUUCGGCAGGGGAGACUGGAAUUCCUGGUGUAGCGGUGAAAUGCGCAGAUAUCAGGAGGAACACCGGUGGCGAAGGCGGGUCUCUGGGCCGAUACUGACGCUGAGGAGCGAAAGCGUGGGGAGCGAACAGG
rnacentral:rRNA from 1 species